rnacentral:rRNA from 1 species
UGGGGAAUUUUGGACAAUGGGCGCAAGCCUGAUCCAGCCAUGCCGCGUGCGGGAAGAAGGCCUUCGGGUAGUAAACCGCUUUUGUCAGGGAAGAAAUCUUCUGAGUUAAUACCUCGGGAGGAUGACGGUACCUGAAGAAUAAGCACCGGCUAACUACGUGCCAGCAGCCGCGGUAAUACGUAGGGUGCAAGCGUUAAUCGGAAUUACUGGGCGUAAAGCGUGCGCAGGCGGUUUUGUAAGACAGAGGUGAAAUCCCCGGGCUCAACCUGGGAACUGCCUUUGUGACUGCAAGGCUUGAGUGCGGCAGAGGGGGAUGGAAUUCCGCGUGUAGCAGUGAAAUGCGUAGAUAUGCGGAGGAACACCGAUGGCGAAGGCAAUCCCCUGGGCCUGCACUGACGCUCAUGCACGAAAGCGUGGGGAGCAAACAGGAUUAGAUACCCUGGUAGUCCACGCCCUAAACGAUGUCAACUGGUUGUUGGGAAGGUUCCUUCUCAGUAACGUAGCUAACGCGUGAAGUUGACCGCCUGGGGAGUACGGCCGCAAGGUUGAAACUUAAAUGAAUUGACGGGGU